rnacentral:rRNA from 1 species
UUAAAUUUUAUUUAUUAAUUUUGUUUAUUUAUAUUUAAAAUAUUAAAAAUAAUUAUAAAAUAAAAAGUUUUAGUAUUGUUUAAAGAAAAAAUAAAUUUAAUAAUAGUUUAAUAGUAUUGUAAAAGAAAAUUGAAAUAAUUUGAAAAAUUAUUAAUUUAAAAGAAAAUUUAAUUUAUUGUACCUUGUGUAUCAGUGUUUAUUAAAUAAAAAAUAUUUAAAAUAUUUUUCUCGAUUUUAAAAGAGUUAAUAUAAUAUAAAAGUUAAUGUGAUAAAAUUAUUUUUAAUAUUAUAUUUGAAAUGAAAUGUUAUUCGUUUUUAAAGGUAUCUAGUUUUUCAAGAAAUAAAUUUAAUUUAGAAAUUAUAAAUUUAUUUAAAAAAUUUUUUAAUUAAAUAAUUUAUAAUUUUAAUAUUUUAUGGGAUAAGCUAUAAAAUAAAUUUUUAUAAAUAAUAAAUAAAUUUAAUAAAUAUAUGCUUAAAAUUAGCAAUUGUUUGUAAAUAUGUUAUAAUUUAUUUUAUAAAUAAAAUUAUUUAUUAUAUUUUAAAUAUUUAUUGAAAUAUUAAUUUUAAUUUUUAAAAUUAAGUAAUAAUGUUAAAAUUAGUAUAUUAUAUUGUAAAAAUAAAUUUAAAUGAAAAGUUUAUGUAAAG